rnacentral:misc_RNA from 1 species
AUUAAAAAUAAGCAUCACUUUAUGUAAACAUGUGAUAAAAUAUUUUGUAAAAUUAGAAUUUCUUUGUUACUUUUGUUUUAAACUAAGUAACCAUAAAAUCCACCUAGUUUAAGAUAUAAUAAAUUCCUUGGGUAAAUGAUACAAACAUGAUGCAUUAAAAGUCAAUGAUAUGUUAAAACUUUUAAUUGCACUUUGACAUGGUACAGAGGCAAUAUUCCCUCCCCAUAAGCAUAAGCCACAGUGCUUUAUGAUUGAAAUAAAAUGCAAGACAAAUACAUAUGUUGGUGAAUAUAUAAAUCUUAUGCUAUAGGAUGAGUUUUCUUAUUCUCUCUCUUUAUUUCUUUUUCCUCCUCUCCUAGGGUAUUUCCUAUUUGGCAAAUCUAUAAACAGUUUGACUCAAUAAUAUACAAGAAGAUUUGCCAGAAACUGUUGAUCUGUCUAACAUGAACGUGCAUACUGGUUUGUUGUUUGCAGUUGGAAGGCAAGUUUAUAUAGUUAUAUUUUUAGUGACUCUAAAUUGACAACUCUUUUAAAUUUGUGAUUACAUAGCCAAGAACAUACAUUAAUUUGAGUUCAGAGUAGAGUAGGUCUUUUAUAUAAAAUGAUACAUAUAUUCUUCCUGUAUUUUCUUGUAGAAUUUUAGAAAUUACUGCUAUUAACAGAUGAUUCAUGAAUCACCAAGAAAUCAAUUUUAAUCAGCAACAGUAUGCGAUAUUUUUUUAUUGCAUGUGAGUUUAGGCUGAUGGACGAGAAGUGUCUCUAGGGCUGAUACAUCCAUGCUUGCUGGGAGCAAGAAUGCUGGGAAGCACAGUAUUUCCCUGGCUUUUGAGUGGUCCAUCAUCAAUUAGAACUGAGGAUUGCCUAGUGUAUGCAUUCAUUGUUCUAGGGUUCACCUUGUCAAUUGUGGCUUAUGAUUAUCAGGAAAUUGGAGUGUUAGUAUCACUGUUUUGUUUAUUCCAUGCUGGAGUAGGUCUAAUUAUACCUUCACUCGCAAGACUGAGGACCAUGCAUGUGCCAAAUGAGUUGCGUGGAGGAAUGAUAAGCCUUUCUCUAGCUCCUGCAAAUGCAGCUAUUCUGUUUUUGCUGAUGCAAGUACGUUUCUGUUACCCAGAUUGCUAGCACAUGGGAUUUACGCAUCUCCUCCAUACGUAGCAAUGAGCAUUGGUCAGCAUUGGCCAUCAUUGGUAGGCCAAUGACGACUUGAAUGAAGAAAUUUUGACUGCAAAUAUCUUCAUUAAUGGAAGAAAUGUUGAUUGUAAAUGCAGCAAUGACAUUGUUCAUAAUGUCAUGCUUUUCUUCACCCUAGAUUACUUGAGGGUUUGAAAAAAGUGCUGCAAUGUGGUUUUAUGGGAGCCAGAAAUGGUGGGCCAAUGAUGACUCUCAGAAGUUGAAGGAGAAAAAGAAAAAGAAAUAGAAAUAUAAAUAGAGUUGACUAAUUGUUGUCAGCUGGUCCAAGAGGACUUUGAGAGGAUAAGUGUUUUCCCAUUACACACAUGAUUUUUAAAACAAUUAAAAUAAGGAGCUGUUGGGACUGCUACCUCUAGUUUGGCCCAUUUCCUAGGUGCUGUUUCAAGGUCACACCUGGUUUUUGGACUUUUGUCCCCCACAUCAUUUUUGAAACUCAUAACUGUUGGCAAACCUGUGAGUAAUUAUGUUGGCUUUUAAUCUUGGCCAUGCAUUCAUCUCAUUGUUUGUUCAGUUGCACUUACCUGUUCUUGGUUUAAGUUCAGGGUUGUCUUCAUAUGAAUUACAGCUACAUAAUAGACUUGUAAGCAAUCUUUUCCAUAUUUCAGAGAGGCUAUUAUCAGAAAAUUGAGAAUUCGACUAUGAUUGCAUUAGCUGCUCUUGGACUCUUCGUGGCAGCUGGCUGCAUGCAUUUGUUGAAGGGAUGGGGGAAGCAACCAUACCAGAACUGGCACAAGUUGUAAUAUCAACAACUCCACCGAUUUCAGAAAUUGAGUUGAUGAAAUUGGGCGUCUGUCAUCUAACUUAGAUGGUCAAGUGAGGUGAAGGAGAGAGAUUGUGUGCCCUCAAGACCAGAGCAAAUCUAAUAAAAAAGAAAGAGGUCCAAUCUCAUGUAUACAUAACCAAGAAAGAAAGGGCGCUGCUAGUCCAAGCUGAAUACGCAUUGUGAGCAAACUGAGAGCAACGCACGGGAGAAUUUUUGUUCAAUGUUCAUUCUUCGACAGCAUAUUUAGCACAAAUCUUGGAUUACAAUUUCCCUAACA